UACAGAGGGGGCAAGCGUUGUUCGGAAUUACUGGGCGUAAAGGGCGCGUAGGCGGCCUUCUAAGUCGAACGUGAAAUCCCCGGGCUCAACCCGGGAACUGCGUCCGAUACUGGAAGGCUUGAAUCCGGGAGAGGGAUGCGGAAUUCCUGGUGUAGCGGUGAAAUGCGCAGAUAUCAGGAGGAACACCAAUGGCGAAGGCAGCUCGCUGGGACGGUACUGACGCUGAGACGCGAAAGCGUGGGGAGCAAACAGG
rnacentral:rRNA from 1 species